rnacentral:lncRNA from 1 species
AGGGAAGUCGGGGUUGCGAAGCGCUUCGCAGAUGAAAUAUGCGAAGGACGGGAAUGUCUGAGGGUUAUUAAAAUACUAGCCGAGCCAGAUUUUAAUGGGAGUUUUCUGCGUACUUUGAUGGGAACAGGAUCGGUCUCCGAGUGUGGAUUAACAUGAGGAGAUGUACAAAGUGGGAAUAAAAGGCAGGGCUGUGGCAUGGGUUUUCGUGUUGUGAUGCAGCGCAGGGAUUCGCGGACCUGUGCUUCUUUUCUGUGUGGCCAGAAAGUAUCAUAACGAGUAAAGGGGGAAAACUCUCUAACUUGGAGGUUGAUCCAUACCUUUUUGGGAGGUUUUCCCAGCUAAUAAAAUCGGUGUCGCAUGGGGAUGAUUCUCGUAUGGAUGCAGCCUGUGCUCGGGUCAAUGGAACAGGACAGGGCUGUGGCAUUCCAACCUAACUGCUGUAAUUCAGCAGCUUGAAAUAGUGAGUUAACAAUCCUGCAGCCUGACUCCCUGCUUUCUCCUCUAGUGCACGGCUCAACAUGGGCGGCUGCUGUGCCAUCUUCUCCCGUACUUGCCUGGAAGACACAGUCCCGGGGAAGAGCCUGCCCUCUGCUCUGGCUGCUUAACGCAGCUAUUUACAGUGCUGGUUUUUGCCGUGCAGACUCCUACCCAGUGAGGAAGUGGGCUGAGAGACCACUGGAUUCCUGCAUUCCUGGAGCUGAAGAUCACAAGGAUCGUGUACCAGCUGCUGACAUUCCUUUCCUGUAUUAUUCCAGGCUUCACUUUCCCGCUUCUCUCCCCGAGUCCCAGAGAGGGAGGGUGAGCAAACGGCUGCGUGGUGCUUAGCUGCCGGCUGGGUCAAACCACAACACCUGCCCACCAGCGCGAUCUCACCGCAGGUCCAAGGCUUUGAAGCUGGCAGCCCCAGCGCAGCGCCGGGCCCCGCCGGCGGCCACCAGCCCUUGGAGCGCGCCCCGUAUUAAAAUAUCUCCAGCUGCACUUCACUUCCUGGAGUCUUCCCUGAUUUAUCAGAAGGAUGAACACUACCACAUCCAGAUGCAAAAGGACAUCAAACCCCAUGUGGUAUGUACAUGUUUGCUUCAUAUAAGGUCUUUGCCAGUAGGAACUGGAGAGAGAACUGGGGAGAGGUGUAAGAGCACCAUGAUAAAGAGGAAAAGGAGAAAAAAAAUCUCCACUUUCCAAUCUUCUUUGCCUGAUGUUGGUUGUGACUUUCUAGCAUCUCAUAGAUAUU